rnacentral:rRNA from 1 species
GAUGAACGCUAGCGGCAGGCUUAACACAUGCAAGUCGAGGGGCAACAGGGGUAGCAAUACUCGCUGGCGACCGGCAAACGGGUGCGGAACACGUACGCAACAUACCUUUUACUGGGGCAUAGCCUUCUGAAAAGAAGAUUAACACCCCAUAAUAUCAAUGACUGGCAUCAGUUGAUGAUUAAAAAUUUAUUGGUAAGAGAUUGGCGUGCGUCCUAUUAGCUAGUUGGUAGGGUAAUGGCCUACCAAGGCGACGAUAGGUAGCUGGUGUGAGAGCACGACCAGCCACACGGGCACUGAGACACGGGCCCGACUCCUACGGGAGGCAGCAGUGAGGAAUAUUGGUCAAUGGACGAAAGUCUGAACCAGCCAUGCCGCGUGAAGGAUGACUG